rnacentral:snRNA from 1 species
GGCUGAGUGCUUGCUACCAAAAUCGCAAUGACACAUGGGAGAUUAGUAUAGUCCUGCACAAAGAUGACACGCAAAUUUGUGAAACAUUCCAUAUUUAU